CUCUUCCGCUCUGUUACUCCCUAAAAGGCACUCUUCCUGCUUUUGGCUUUCAUAGUUUCUGUCAGUAGCAUAAUCCCCACCACUAUGGUCUGUGACCACUGUGUUUUGUGAAAUCCUGUAUACCCCCAUAGGCUUUCUCAGUGUCCGUGGCAUUUUUUGUGGCUUCCCAACACUAGAAUAAGUUUUUCUGCCAAAAUGAAUGAGGCUUUUGGUGCCCUCUAGACUUCCCACCACCUCCCAACAUGGGAGAAUUGUGAAACUGUCCGCAAGACUGCCUUCCUGCUCCUCCUCAUGCUCCUGGUGUUGGUUAUUCUGGUCUGACACAGGCCUGUGGGAUGUCUCGUAAAGCCUCUGUUGGCUUUACCCUACUUAGCUCCUCUCCGGUCCAUUUCAGUUAGACUAUGUCAUUAUGAGGCCACCAGACCUUUCAUUGGAAUUCUGUGAAUCUCCACCUGGCCUAUCUCUGGGUGGAACCUGGUCAGUACUAUUGCCCUCUUUGAAACCCUCUUCCCCUACAUCCCUGGCACUGGUUGUUUUCUGUGAAAACAACAGUGUACAGGUUCAGUUUUGAACUGGCCCUGUAGAAAUGGGCCAGGAACUGUGUAGACAAGAGGGAGAAAUGAGAGCUAUUGGAGAAAUGAGAAUGAGUUUUUUUCUUUUUAACAUUUUUUUUAUAUUAGUAAUAAACACAGUGGAAAAACAGCAUUUU